rnacentral:rRNA from 1 species
CGGGAAUUUUGGGCAAUGGGCGAAAGCCUGACCCAGCAACGCCGCGUGAGGGAUGAAGUAUUUCGGUAUGUAAACCUCGAAAGAAUGGGAAGAAUAAAUGACGGUACCAUUUAUAAGCUCCGGCUAACUACGUGCCAGCAGCUGCGGUAAUACGUAGGGAGCAAGCGUUGUUCGGAUUUACUGGGCGUAAAGGGCGCGUAGGCGGCGCGGUAAGUCACUUGUGAAAUCUCUGAGCUUAACUCAGAACGGCCAAGUGAUACUGCUGUGCUAGAGGGCGGAAGAGGCCACCGGAAUUCUCGGUGUCGCGGUGAAAUGCGUAGAUAUCAAGAGGAACACCUGAGGCGAAGGCGGGUUGCUGGGCCGACACUGACGCUGAUGCGCGAAAGCCAGGGGAGCAAACG